rnacentral:lncRNA from 1 species
AUGUAUAAUUUUUUUACUCAAGUGUCUUGUGAAAGAAUAUGUAUUUGUCCUAUGUGAGAAAAUGAAACGUUAAAAUGAUGAUUUGGCAUGACGAGAAAGUGUUUGUGUACUUACUUUUAGUAUGCUCUUGCUUAAUUUAUGUUAUUGUGUAUGCUCGGUGUUAAUUUUGAACAUUCACUGAGCUUGUUUAAGCUCACACCCUUUAUUUAAAUUCUAUAUAAAAAUAGUGCAUUCGGGGAGUGUGAAGUGGG